rnacentral:rRNA from 1 species
CCUACGGGUGGCAGCAGUGGGGAAUAUUGGGCAAUGGAGGCAACUCUGACCCAGCAACGCCGCGUGAAUGAUGAAGGUCUUCGGAAUGUAAAGUUCUGUGAUGGGGGAUGAACACAAUGACGGUACUCCAAUAGCAAGCCACGGCUAACUACGUGCCAGCAGCCGCGGUAAUACGUAGGUGGCAAGCGUUUUCCGGAAUGACUGGGCGUAAAGGGUGCGUAGGUGGUUUAGUAAGUUGGCGGGGUAAUUCCGGGGCUCAACCCAGGCGCGGCCGCGGAAACUAGUAGACUAGAGUGCGGGAGAGGUAAGUGGAAUGCCCAGUGUAGCGGUGGAAUGCGUAGAUAUUAGGAAGAACAUCGAGGGCGAAGGCGACAUGCUGGACUGUAACUGACGCUGAGGCACGAAAGCGUGGGGAGCGAACAGGAUUAGAUACCCCAGUAGUC